AGAUGGCCUUUAAAUGUCCCUUCCAAGCCAAGCCAUUCUGUGCUGCUGUGCACCAGUAGAGCAGUGCUGGAAUAAUGCUGGGGUGAUGAUGCUGGCACCUGUGUUUCGGUAGUUGUGCCAUUUAGCUGUUGGCCAAGAGAGGAUUGAUGGGCUGCACAGUGAAGUCUGCAAAGAACAGUGUGCUCAAGGAGAAACAGGAGAGGAACAGGGCUUCCAGCUCAGAUAAAUGCCAGCAUUUUGCUGCCCAUUUCUUGUUAAGAAAUAAAGCAAUGUUCUGAAGAUCCCUUCAGUGUGGGUGCACUAUUGGCUGUAUCAGUGCUUGUGUUCUGUAAAACAGGUAUCCAUCAGGACAGUGGCUGUGAAGCUUGGAACAAUGUAGGUUUAGAGCAGCAAAAAUAAUAAUCCAUUUCCCAGGUUAAGCCAAGCACUUCCCAAAUAACUCUAGCUAUCCUCAGGGAUGUUUCCAAAAGUAUCACAGUAAAUGUUGGGAGUGGGGAGAGAAUGUGAACAAAAUUAAAAAUACAGCUUUCUGAGAUCUUUUUAUUCCUAUAAAAACAGAGUCAAAAUUGUUUAUAGAUAGAACAUUAACUAAGAAGUGAACAACAGAUUUUCAAGAUAAUUGCUUAGGAAUCAAAAAUAUCUAAAUAAAAAUAACUUAACAUGUGGAUUUAUAAGAAAACAAUCAUACUAAGAAAAAAACCAUACCUACCAAAUCUAAAAACAACAAGUCUGCCUCAUCUGUCUCAAUAACAAAAAAAACCAACAAAACACCAUUGAAAAGAAUCAGAUCCUCAAGACCAUUACUACAUACAGGACCUUCCAGGUAAUGGGAAUAAACAAAGGAAUUUUUGGACAGUUUUUUUUUCUCCUUGGGCUGGGGGAGCUGUCACAGGGAAGGGAGGGUCAGGAGUGGCAGUGGCUGCUCAGGGAUGGGUUUGGCCCGUGUCCCUGGAAGGAGCCACUGCCAAGCAGCUGUGCUGCCCCCGGGCUCUGCUCUCAGCUUUCUGGGCUCUGUUGGGGGGCACAGCCUCUGCCAAGGGGUGCCAAGGUGCCUGCAGGCCCCAGCUCUGGGGGAAACAGAGAACGUCCUGGCUGUAUCCAGCGUGCUGCCAGCUCAGCAGUGGAGCACAGCACAGGCUCACGCUGCCCAUUGCUCCCACAGAUGCAGCCGGCACCACAAGACAUGCUCAGAAGAUCUGGGAGAGCAUGAGAAGAGUUUUCUACCAGGGAACACAUGGUUUGAUUAAGUUAAUGGCCACUGUGGCUGGUGGAGCACUUUUCCUGCUGAUGUGCUAUGCUGGAAUCAAGUAUUGCUGGAAGAGAAAAGGGAGCACCUCUGCACCUUCAGAAGAGCAGCCAAAGACUUUAAUCACCGAGAAGCUGAUCUGUCAUCCCCGCUCUUCACCUCUGUCUCCCUCUGCUCUGCUACGGCUCCAUCCCCGUCUUGAGUGCGUCCCAAGACUCACACCUGCAAAGUGAGAGCCUCUGCCCCUGAGCCCCCUGGCCCUGGUCCCUGGCCAGGACUGAAAUUGGGCAGCCCCUGUCCAGCAGAGCAGGGCUUGGCCUAUGGUUUUUGUUCCAAUAAAGAGAUGGAGAUUUUACCUCAGUGUCUGGCUGGUACCACCAGCAAAGCCCUCAUGGCACCAGCCCCUGCUGAGCUCCAUGUCCAGGAGCAGCCGGGGGUGUCCACAGUGUGGGCAGGCAGGAGCCAGGCAGGGGCUGCCAUGACCAGUGGUGGGGCCACGAGGGGCUGGGGGAGCCCAUGCUGAGCGUCCCUGGGCUGUGAGGGCACAUUUCCUUCAGUGGCAUCACCUGGGCCUGCACCUCAUGAGGCACCCAGGGCUAAUUUGGGCUCUCUGCUAAGGUGUGCAGGGAUCCCCCAUGAGGUGUGCAGCGGGGUUAAAUUGAGAGGGUUUUUUCCUCUUCUCAGCACAGCAAAGGGGACACUCUUGGCUGAGGUUUUGCAGA